UACAGAGGUCCCAAGCGUUGUUCGGAUUCACUGGGCGUAAAGGGUGCGUAGGUGGCCAGGUAAGUCUGAUGCGAAAUCUCGGAGCUCAACUCCGAAACUGCAUUGGAUACUAUCUGGCUGGAGGGUCGGAGGGGGGACUGGAAUUCUCGGUGUAGCAGUGAAAUGCGUAGAUAUCGAGAGGAACACCAGUGGCGAAGGCGAGUCCCUGGACGACUCCUGACACUGAGGCACGAAAGCUAGGGGAGCAAACAGG
rnacentral:rRNA from 1 species